CGGGAAGUAGCUCUGCUUGGUAGAGCACUUGGUUUGGGACCAAGGGGUCGCAGGUUCGAAUCCUGUCUUCCCGA
rnacentral:tRNA from 1 species